CCUACGGGGGGCAGCAGUGGGGAAUAUUGGACAAUGGGGGGAACCCUGAUCCAGCCAUGCCGCGUGUGUGAAGAAGGCCCUCGGGUUGUAAAGCACUUUCAGUGAGGAAGAACGCCUGGUGGUUAAUACCCAUCAGGAAAGACAUCACUCACAGAAGAAGCACCGGCUAACUCCGUGCCAGCAGCCGCGGUAAUACGGAGGGUGCGAGCGUUAAUCGGAAUUACUGGGCGUAAAGCGCGCGUAGGUGGCUUGAUAAGCCGGUUGUGAAAGCCCCGGGCUCAACCUGGGAACGGCAUCCGGAACUGUCAAGCUAGAGUGCAGGUGAGGAAGGUAGAAUUCCCGGUGUAGCGGUGAAAUGCGUAGAGAUCGGGAGGAAUACCAGUGGCGAAGGCGGCCUUCUGGACUGACACUGACACUGAGGUGCGAAAGCGUGGGUAGCAAACAGGAUUAGAUACCCGAGUAGUC
rnacentral:rRNA from 1 species